GCGACGAUAUCAGUGUAGAGGAUCUGCAGGUGUAUAGUUCAAUCCUGGGGCAGUGGCAGCCGUGGGGAGUCGGGGACCCCCAGCUGGUGCCGGUUGAAGUAAACUGUGUUUCCAACAAGAACACCAUUGACAGUUGCCAGCAUGGCGAAGGAGUAAGAGCAGACGAGAAGGUCCCAGGCCGCUACCUGCAGGCCAGUCUCCCCGCCCCCAGCGAAGACUCACGCCUCGUGCAGCACUACGAGACGAACAUCACCACCCUCACCCUUCACCGCCUGCGCCACUUCUCCCUCUACACCGUGGCCGUCACAGCAUGUCUUCAGCCGCGUCGUUGCAUCAGAACAACGCCAGUUCUCCGCUCUACCACCUCCGCCGCCGCCUCCACACCUGCGUCUUGGGAGCCUGUUUUCUGCAAGCUGUGCUCGACCGUUCCAGCCUUGUUUCCGCUUUCACCGACCCCAGCCGUUAGUUUUUUCUCUGUUUUAGUUCUUAGUUUUUUCUUCGCACUCUGGUUUCCUUUCAGUAAUAACUAAAUGUUGUUGGUAUCUCUGAUCACAUUCCUUCUAGUCUCCAAUGCAUUUUUUUUAAUAAUAGCGAAAUUUCUAUUGACA